rnacentral:lncRNA from 1 species
GGUACUCUCACGCCUUAUUCCAUUUUCCCUGCUUUCCUUGACUAUGUCAUUGUCCUAUCCCCUCGCCCCAACCCACAACUACUUCACAAGCACCAAACUCUUUUCAGCCUUUAUUCUUUUUUUUUUUUUUUUUUUUUUUGGGACAGAGUCUUGCCCUGUCGCUCAGGCUGGAGUGCAAUGGCGACAUCUCAGCUCACUGCAACCUCCGCCUCCUGGGUUCAAGCAGAGG